GAAAAAUUAAAAAUCACAAGGUUAUCAUUGAAAAUCUCCCAAAUAUAAUUUCAGUAACAUUCAGCAUCAAUAUGUUAAAAACGAUAAACUAUGUGAUCCUCACUGAUAAGAAUCGCUAUCCUUAUCAAUUGUUACAUUUUAUAAGUGUUUCUGGAUAUGGAGUGCAAGUUUCCCAAAAGAAUUUAGUGCAAUCGUUAAAAUCUUGCCAACAAGCCAAGGAACAGUCCUUUCUAGUGCAACAAUACAAUGGUUCUCCAUGUGGUCCGUGUUCUGCUAUCUUGCAGUAGAUAUGACCAUUAAGCUUUAUAUCCGGUGAAUGAUCUCCGAUGGGCACGCCUAUAAAUUUUAUGCUAAGAAUUGUUAUGCGAAGAAAUUAUAAGAAAAACGACUAAUUUUCACACAUAAAAAUGGAUAAGUUAUCAAUGCUCUCUUGAUUUACUUAACAAAAUAUGAAAUUUGAAAAAAAUGUAUAUAAGCAAUAUUAAGAUGCUCAGAUAAUUAAAAAUAAAUUAGAUUUGAAACAACGAUAGGAACUUACUUUCGUGAAAUGAAAGAGCCGAGAUCAGUAAUACGAAACAAAGAAUUUGAGGGGUGGAGAUCAAUUUCGCCAUUGUUGAUAUAAAAUGAAGAUAUGAUCCUCA
rnacentral:lncRNA from 1 species